rnacentral:rRNA from 1 species
GUGAGGAAUCUUCCACAAUGGACGAAAGCCUGAUGGAGCAACGCCGCGUGAAGGAUGAAGGUCUUCGGAUUGUAAACUUCUUUUAUGAGUGAAGAAUAUGACGGUAACUCAUGAAUAAGCACCGGCUAACUACGUGCCAGCAGCCGCGGUCAUACGUAGGGUGCAAGCAUUAUCCGGAGUGACUGGGCGUAAAGAGUUGCGUAGGCGGUUAUGUAAGCGAAUAGUGAAACCUGGUGGCUCAACCACACAGACUAUUAUUCGAACUGCAUAACUCGAGAAUGGUAGAGGUAACUGGAAUUUCUUGUGUAGGAGUGAAAUCCGUAGAUAUAAGAAGGAACACCAAUGGCGUAGGCAGGUUACUGGGCCAUUUCUGACGCUAAGGCACGAAAGCGUGGGGAGCGAACCGGAUUAGAAACCCCUGUAGUCC